rnacentral:lncRNA from 1 species
UUUGUUCUUUGUUCCAUAUCUAGAAAAACUCUAACAACAUCUUCCUAUAGUUCUCAAAGUACAUGAUAUAGAUAGAUCAUAUUUUAAUUAUAUUUAAUAUGUACCUGAAGAAUAAAUAAGAUAACUAUGAUAAAUUUUUUCAUAAUAGAAUAAAGAACACCAAGAUAACAAUAAAAAAAUUGAUAUAUUUUUCAACUACCCA